UUUGUUUUUAUCAUUUAAUUCAAUUCCGUUUACCCGGCGUACGUAUAAUUUAAAAUAUGUUUCUGUGAAUCACUAUUUGUAAGCACACUAUAGUGUGCAUCACAACGCCCAUGUUCAGUGUGAGUGAUAUGACCGCGUGGACGUAUUUGUUAAUGAAAUGGAUAAUCUAGAAGUAAUACUUGAAGAAAUUGACAGCCAUCCAAGCAUAAUCAUUAUAACAAUUAUGUCUAUAAUAAUAAUAGGAGCCGCCUUUUAUGCGUGCUUUCACAAACAUGAAGAUGAGAAGCAGGAGGACGAGAGCGAAACUUAUUAUCAAGUUUUUGAAUGCUCAAGCGAAGACCGACCAACUUCCAUAUUAAGCGAUUACAGCACAGAAGGCGAAUUUCAAUUUAUCAACGGUGACGAUUAUAGACCAAGAAGUAUACAUCAGACUGAGAUAUAAUUGUGAUAUUUAAUAGUAUCUCAAUAAUUUAUUUAUUUAACUCAUAUUCAUAUUUAUUUAAAUGUAUAAUAUAUAUUAUAUAAUUAGUUAUAUUAUUUAAUUGCUUUUUUUCUUUUAAAUUCCUUCUCUUUCUAAAAAACAAAGUUUUUUUUAGAAAAAUAAGUUUCAACAAUAACGUAUUAAAUGGUAAUCAAUAAACUAAGUUCACUAUUUGAACAAUAUUUACUCAGGCUGUAUUAGUAUUAAAUAAAAGUUACCAUAAGGACUAAUAAGAAUAUAAAAUAUUUUAUGUACUUCAUUUUAUAGGGAAUAAUGCUUUAAUGAAGAGGUUCACUAAUUCGCCACUUUACCAUGUUAAACCUACAUAUUGUCACAAAUAAUUACAAUUAAGCUCCAAACUAUAUAAUUUGAACAUAACAUAACUUUAGUUGUAAUACAACACAAUGCAAUAAUUGUUACAUUAAUUUGCAUAACAAUGAAUUUAACAAGUUGUUAUAAAUGAGAGCCACAUUGUGGAAGAGCACAAAUAUUUGUAAUUUCAGAAUUUCUUGGGAUGGUUAAAUUAAUGAAAUUGUUCUCCAGUUUUCGUCCUAAUGCCUAAUUCAAAUAUCAUUUAAGGCAAUGCCUAAGAAAUAUCGAAUUGUAAGCCACCUCGUAAUUCCCAAGAAUUCUAUUGUACCAAUGAAGGAGAAAACGAAUUAAUAUUUGUUUACUUUAUAGACUGUAUUAUCUUAAUCCACCUGAAUUAAUGAUGUGAAAGCUAUUAAUUAAGAAUGUAUGUUUCAUUUAUAUUGUUAUAUGAAAAUAU